GGGGAUAUAGCUCGGCUGGUAGAGUGUUUGCCUAGCAUGCACAAGGCCCUGGGUUCAAUCCCCAGUACCACCA
rnacentral:tRNA from 1 species